AAGGAUUUCUGGCAAUUCUGUCUGGAGUGCAACCUUUCAGUACAAGCGGAGUACAUUCCGGGAAUGACCAAUGUAGUGGCAGAUUGGAAUUCCAGACACUUACGAGAUGCCAGCAAUUGGUGACUGAACCCUGCCAUCUUCAGCCAUUUACAGUCACUUCAGGACCCCUUGGACAUUGACCUGUUCGCAUCAUGCUUGAACACACAUUUGCUGAAGUUUUUUAGCUGGAGGCCGGACCCGGAAGCUUUGGCGACGGACGCUUUCCUCCAACCGUGGCCGAACACCUGCCACUACGCCUUCCCUCCUUUCUCUCUCAUCGCACAGACUUUGCUACACCUCAG